UAGGAGCGUCCACCGCAUGGUGGGUGUUGGAAAGAUUUAUCGGUUUUGGAUGGACUCGCGGCCUAUCAGCUUGUUGGUGAGGUAAUGGCUCACCAAGGCGACGACGGGUAGCCGGCCUGAGAGGGUGACCGGCCACACUGGGACUGAGACACGGCCCAGACUCCUACGGGAGGCAGCAGUGGGGAAUAUUGCACAAUGGGCGAAAGCCUGAUGCAGCGACGCCGCGUGAGGGAUGACGGCCUUCGGGUUGUAAACCUCUUUCAGUAGGGAAGAAGCGAAAGUGACGGUACCUGCAGAAGAAGCACCGGCUAACUACGUGCCAGCAGCCGCGGUAAUACGUAGGGUGCGAGCGUUAUCCGGAAUUAUUGGGCGUAAAGAGCUCGUAGGCGGUUUGUCGCGUCUGUCGUGAAAGUCCGGGGCUUAACCCCGGAUCUGCGGUGGGUACGGGCAGACUAGAGUGCAGUAGGGGAGACUGGAAUUCCUGGUGUAGCGGUGGAAUGCGCAGAUAUCAGGAGGAACACCGAUGGCGAAGGCAGGUCUCUGGGCUGUAACUGACGCUGAGGAGCGAAAGCAUGGGGAGCGAACAGGAUUAGAUACCCUGGUAGUCCAUGCCGUAAACGUUGGGCACUAGGUGUGGGGACCAUUCCACGGUUUCCGCGCCGCAGCUAACGCAUUAAGUGCCCCGCCUGGGGAGUACGGCCGCAAGSUAAAACUCAAAGGAAUUGACGGGGGCCCGCACAAGCGGCGGACAUGCGGAUUAAUUCGAUGCAACGCGAAGAACCUUACCAAGGCUUGACAUGUUCUCGAUCGCCGUAGAGAUACGGUUUCCCCUUUGGGGCGGGUUCACAGGUGGUGCAUGGUUGUCGUCAGCUCGUGUCGUGAGAUGUUGGGUUAAGUCCCGCAACGAGCGCAACCCUCGUUCCAUGUUGCCAGCACGUAAUGGUGGGGACUCAUGGAAGA
rnacentral:rRNA from 1 species